AGGUGUAGUUUCCAGGGCUUAAAGGUCCGCCGGCUCCCGCGGCCGGUACUAAAUUUAGAACUUCGCUUCUACUCCUCUUCGGAAAUGGACUCCUUUCCUUCCGGGACCUGGGCCUCAAAGUUCUUGUUUCCUCCAAAAAUCCUUGUGGGGCUCCAGCCUGGGUUCCACGCAGAAUCCGGAACUACAAAGUCCACAAUUCCCUGCGGUCCUGUGGCCACCCCAACGACGGAAACCGAUCGAGUCCAAAAGUCCUUGGGCGGCCGAAGCGUCCCGCCGGGUGGCGCUGUCCGGAUCACUCCGGUCACCUGCGCUUCCGACGCUACGAGCUUACUGAGUGCUGUCCUCCGCGUCCUGCCGCAGGCGGAGAGCCGGGCCGGGCCGGGGCCGAGGCAGGAACCUACAGCUAACCUGGAGCCCGCGAGGCGGCGAGUCCGGUGACGCCGCGCCCAGAAGGCGGGGAACCAGCCUCCCGCCUCCCGAUUGGCUGCCCGCUCCCGGGAAGCUCCAGGCCUUAGCAGCCGAACUAGGCCCGUCGAACCCAAUCGGGCACGGCCGAUGGCCGGCCAGAAGCCCCGCACUGGCGGAUUGGGGCGGACGCGGGAGAAGGGAUGGUGCGUGGCAGCGGCGGCAGACCAGCGCCCUCUCUUCGGGCGACCUCAAGCCCUGCGCGGUCGAUUUUGUCCCCUUGUUCGGGGCUGCCCGGCAGAGGCCACCUUGCGCUCCUUGCCCGCGCUGUCCGGGCGCUCCAAGAGAAUCCUCAGGCCCCUUCUCCGCGUCCGGCCCUCCUCCUUCACAUUCAUCGUGGCCUUCAAGCUCGUCCUCCUCAAGAAAUCUUAGUGCUUUUCAAAUUUUGAUGUUCAUAGAAAGCACCUGGGAAACUUUAAUUCCAGGUUCUGCUUUAGGAAGGCUGGGAUGGGGCCUGCAAUUCUGCAUUUCUAACAAGCACGUGGGCGCUGCUGCUACUGGUCCACGGACCACACUUUGUUUUUUAAAAAUGUAUUUGUUAUUGAUUCAGAGAUAAAGGGAGAGGAAGAGAGAGAGAAAUAUCAGUGAGAGAGAAUCACUGAUCAGCUGCCUCCUGCACGCCCCACACCGGGAUCAAGGCCACCACCUGGGCAAGUGCCCUGCUGGAGAAUCAGACCGUGACCUCCUGGUUCAUAGGUGGACGUGCAACCAUUGAGCCACGCCAGCUGGGCCACGGGCCAUGAAUAGCAUGCUUCUAGAAUAACCUCACCCCAUUCCCUUCAUCCCUUGCUCCGUGCCCCUUUAGUGUGUCCUAUAUCUUGUACAUAUAACUAGUAUAACCUGCUCCACUGGGCGUAUCAGUGGAAAACUGGGCCUCUUCCUCCUAAUAGAAGAUGUAGGUCCCUUUGUGGUUCAACCUUGCUUGUCCAGCAACCUGCACGGUUGGGCCACCAGAGCUCUUCAGGAAAGGAGAGUUGCACUUCCAUACCUCACCUUGGCCCGUUUACUUGCUUUUUAACGCCUACCAUUGUGCCUGUCUACAAGGACCAUGCCAGGGCAGUCAGGAGGGAAAACUUUCGUCAUUAUCCACAGGUGUGAGUCAAAACAGUCCACUUCCUGUUUUGUGUUGAAACUCACUAACCUAGACUUUUUUUCUCAAGUUUUAUUCCUGGGUUCUGUGCCAGAGUGACCUUAGUACACUGUACACUGCCACCUCCUUCCCUCUAUGGCUACAUACUCUUGAUUCUUGGAAUCCCUGGGCUCUUGUUGAAAAUUAAUCUAUCUUUUCUUCCUCCCUCUUCCUCUUUCCAUUUCAGAGACUUCUGGGAAAGGCAGGAAGUCUAGAAUGAGUCACAAAAGGUUUUAUUAGGUCAUAAUCCCUGUACAAAGGUUGCUAAUUUGUAGUAUGUGUGCCUUAAUUGAGAGGGCCACUCCAAUGACCCUUUAAAGAUGAGCUUCUUUCAAUAAAAAGGAACUAUACUCUCCUA